rnacentral:lncRNA from 1 species
AUGUGCCAGGGUGAAGUGACCGGGAGAGGCCUGGAAGACAGGGGGUCAGAGACACAAGCCCUUGAAUCCUUCAGGUCGUGUGGGGGGGGGGGGGGGGGGGGGGAGGCCGGCCCUCCCACAUUACAAACCGUCGCUCUGGCUGCCUUGACUGGAGAUCCCAGCGGGUCGUCAGUGCAGCACGUGGUGCGACUGCUUAAGGAAGGCGGGAAGAGCCAGACUGUGACCCUUUCUCAGGGCAAGGAGCGAAGUACUGUCUCAGGAGCAUCACGGGACUGUGGAGAGCCCCCUGGCAGGAAAACAACAGCCGGCUCCAAUGACAGUCCUGACCCGCAGGGACUUGCCCACCCGCGCGGGCCCAGGGACCCGCCAGCUGCAGGCGCAGAGCGCAGGCAAAGGUGGAGGACGAUGGACGCCGGGAGCUGCGGAAUCCAGGAGGCCAGCGGGUCGCCGGCGAGACUGGAGCCAACUCCGCCCCCUGGACCAGAACAUGCAGAAGAUGCUGGCCGGGCCGGGGCUCCCUGGGCCUCCCAUGGAAGGCGGGGGGGGCUCGGGAGCAGCGGGGAGCAGGGAGGCAGAGACCUGAGACGACCGCGGCCACCCGUCAGCAGUCCCUCCAUCCUCGGCUCCUCACCGCCGGCCGUGGUGACUUCCAAGCACCCUUGCGCUCUCCCGAAGCAGAGAAAGAAGAGCCGUCCGUCCGGGGAGAUGAUGCAGGGAAAGCGGAGGAUCGCGGAGCUCACGGGACAAGUAACUCGGCUCCAAGCUGAGAGGAGUCUGCACGGGGAGAACGCCCAGCUGGCUCGGGAGGCACAGAAGCUGCAGCUGCCGCUCCCGGCCCAGCCCCACGUGCGGGUAGAGCACGUCCCGCACCUGGAGAGAAAGGCACCUGGAGAGAAAGCGGGCAGCACGUGCACGGGGAGACGCAGCUUCCCGGGGCGUGCAGGGGGCUGGCCGUCGCCCGUCACGUGGGCGACCGCUGCGAGAAGAUGGCCGAGGGCCCGCGCAGAGGAUUGCGGAGAAGCACCUCCUCCCACGACCAGGAGGAUCCCCUCGGCAGAGGCAGAGCCGGAGGGCCGCUCUGUGGGCAGAGAGAGAGGUCUGCGAGCUGAGGAGGCAAAGCCACCACCUCAGGCAGAGGGUGGCCAAGCCCUCGGGGCCGCGGUCCCGCCCGUGCCCCGGGGACCCCGUGCGCCUGCUGCUCCUCCUGCAGCCCCCAGGUGUCCGCGUGGGCCACGGGCUCCCCUGCGUCCCCCGGUGCCCCAGGAGAGAGCGGAGGUGCACCACGAGGCCUCCGGGGCCGGGGGUCGCCUGCAGGUCUGA